rfam:Bacillus marisflavi strain JCM 11544 scaffold1, whole genome shotgun sequence.
GCCAAAGCGAUGAGAAGGACCAGUAGCAUGCUGAUGAUGCAAGAGAGCGGUAUCCACCGGCUGCAAGAUACCGCCAUCCUCUCUGCAUGCGAACCUACCUUUCGAGCGUCUUUAAUAAAGAACGUGUUCCAGCGUUAUUGGAAAAUGAGUGUGCCCGCUUAUCGGGCAAAACAAGGUGGUACCACGGGAGCAGAUCCUUUCGUCCUUUUU